CUGCAACUCGACUACAUGAAGCUGGAAUCGCUAGUAAUCGCGAAUCAGAAUGUCGCGGUGAAUACGUUCCCGGGUCUUGUACACACCGCCCGUCACACCAUGGGAGUCGGAUAUGCCCGAAGUCAGUGACCCAACCAUAUGGAGGGGAGCUGCCGAAGGUGGAGCCGAUAACUGGGGUGAAGUCGUAACAAGGUACC
rnacentral:rRNA from 1 species